UGUUCUAUGGCCGAACUGGUAAAAGGCAUUGCCGAUCACAGGCAAUAGGUUGCGGGUUCGAGUCCCGAUGGAACGG
rnacentral:tRNA from 1 species